rnacentral:tRNA from 1 species
GGGUCCGUAGCUCAAUGGUUAGAGCAUCCGGCUUAUAUCCGGACGGUUGGGGGUUCGACUCCCUCCGGACCCA